rnacentral:rRNA from 1 species
UACAGAGGGGGCAAGCGUUGUUCGGAAUUACUGGGCGUAAAGGGCGCGUAGGCGGCCUGCUAAGUCGAACGUGAAAUCCCCGAGCUCAACUCGGGAACUGCGUCCGAUACUGGCAGGCUUGAAUCCGGGAGAGGGAUGCGGAAUUCCAGGUGUAGCGGUGAAAUGCGUAGAUAUCUGGAGGAACACCGGUGGCGAAGGCGGCAUCCUGGACCGGCAUUGACGCUGAGGCGCGAAAGCGUGGGGAGCGAACAGG